GGCAAUGGGUCCAAGUGGAGAAAGUGAGAUAGUUGCAAUUUCUGUAACAGCGUCAGAGGAUGCAUUAAAACUUUAAUGCAUCCUCUGGUUCUAGAGACAUUUAAAUUGAAAAAUCUAAAAUGGACAGAAAUAGUCACUUUUUUACUGAUAAAGACAUGGCAGAGCGUGACUCUCUGCGAACAACAGUUCCCAGUAUUGCUGUUAUGCUUGUUUCAUGUCUCGCGUUCAAUGAGCAGAGAAGUGACUGUUUUAAAAAUGGGCAUUUGCCAAAGUCAAAGGUUAUAUGCAUUUAGACCAACACUUCAAAAAAUGGCAUAUGCAUCGUCAGAAUUACAAUUUUAAAAACUUUAUCAUGACUUUAUUGAAAAAAUGCCAGACAGUGUGGUUAGUUACUUUAAAACCAACUAGAAUAAUCGCAUAACUGAGUGGGUGUUUUGUUAUCAGCAAAAAAAUUUGACUUUUGAACAAAGAACAACAAACAGAUUAGAGUCUGUAAACCGAAGAAUAAAAUCUGUUUUAAACCUAUUAAACCCUCUUCCAAUACUUUUUAAAGAUCCUUAUUUUGUUACAGAUGUAAUAUGUAAGGAGUGCAAUCAUAACUUUGUUCUUGAUAAUGAUGUUUUAGAGGAGUUUUCUAAAAUUCUAACACCUUAUGCUUUAAGUUUUAAUAGAAGUCAGUUACGUGAAGCACUAAAGUUACACCCUGGAGGCGAUAAUAAUAAUCCAUUAUCUGAAAUUUUAGGAUAGGAGGUAUCAAUAAGUGGGCUUAGUUGCCAUUGUAUUUUUUAUAAAUCCAUGGGAUUACCUUGAAAAUACAGGUUUGUAGUGAGGCGAAUAAAGCAAUUACCAAUAUUUUCAUUUGACGGCAUUUCAAUAAGAUGGUUCAAAUCUCAUGCUACUGAAAAUCAUCACUUUUUUCAACACCAAAACAAAAACCAUAAUCAUCUAGGAUUUGGUGUAUUAAAAGAAAGACCUAUAACACAAACUGAAAAGUUUAAAAGAGCAAAUUGUAUCUCUGAGCGAUUAGCACAACUUGUUUCUGAAGGAGGGAAAAGUGAGUUUGAAAGCUAAAUAAACAUCCUUUAAAAUUUAGUUAAUAUUUGGGAAGAACAUAAACAUGCAGAGAUAACUGUUUUGGACUCAGUGGAUUUAGUAAUUGAUACUACAUCAAAAUGUGCUGUGAGUUCUAGAAGCAACCAUAACAAAUUGUGUGAUUCAACAAAAAAAGCAUUUGUUUUGUCGACAACUAACUUAGGUUUGAUUUUAACAUGCAAUGAAACCUUAAAUAAGAAUAAUCACAAUUAAACGUUGCUACAUUUAGAGCAAUUGCCACUAGAUUUACACCAUACAAUUUUGAAAAAAGUGGAUUGAAUUUUGCCGAAAUAUCUAAUCAACAUCAUAAUGAUAAUAUUGAAGUUCGUGAUCAAACUUCGAUUAACAUAGUAAAAAUCUGAUAGAAGACAGUGAAUUUGUAAAUCAGCUAUGAGUAUUGAAAUUAAGCAAGGAGAUGAGUUUUCUGAGUUUGAAAAUGAAUUGAUUGCAUGGUCGAGUUUACAAAUGUUUUAUGGACUAAAUCUAACAGCAAAACUGUAACAUUAGCAAACAGGCUUGUGCUUGAGCUUGCGCAAUGGUUCUAAACCUAAAAGUUUAAAUUUAGAAAUGUGAUAUAUUUAUGAGCAGAAGGGAAAGGACUUCGUCCUAAUCAAAGUUUUUUAAUUGGGAAUAGCUGAAGACGAAAUGAUUAGACGUGAAGUAAGAAGAACUUUGCAUUCUGAUGUUAUAUUUUAUAUAUUUGAAAUAUGGAAAUAUAUACUUUUUUUUA